rnacentral:rRNA from 1 species
AGCGAACGCUGGCGGCAGGCCUAACACAUGCAAGUCGAACGGAUCCUUCGGGAUUAGUGGCGGACGGGUGAGUAACACGUGGGAACGUGCCCUUUGGUUCGGCACAACUCAGGGAAACUUGAGCUAAUACCGGAUGUGCCCUUCGGGGGAAAGAUUUAUCGCCAUUGGAGCGGCCCGCGUCUGAUUAGCUAGUUGGUGAGGUAACGGCCCACCAAGGCGACGAUCAGUAGCUGGUCUGAGAGGAUGAUCAGCCACACUGGGACUGAGACACGGCCCAGACUCCUACGGGAGGCAGCAGUGGGGAAUCUUGCGCAAUGGGCGAAAGCCUGACGCAGCCAUGCCGCGUGAAUGAUGAAGGUCUUAGGAUUGUAAAAUUCUUUCAGCGGGGACGAUAAUGACGGUACCCGCAGAAGAAGCGCCGGCUAACUUCGUG